rnacentral:rRNA from 1 species
UACGUAGGGUCCGAGCGUUGUCCGGAAUUACUGGGCGUAAAGAGCUCGUAGGUGGUUUGUCGCGUUGUUCGUGAAAACUCACAGCUCAACUGUGGGCGUGCGGUCGAUACGGGCAUCACUGGAGUUCGGCAGGGGAGACUGGAAUUCCUGGUGUAGCGGUGAAAUGCGCAGAUAUCAGGAGGAACACCGGUGGCGAAGGCGGUUCUCUGGGAAUGUCCUGACGCUGAGGAGCGAAAGUGUGGGGGAGCGAACAGG